UGGCGUGCCUUUUGUAGAAUGAACCGGCGAGUUACGAUUUGAUGCAAGGUUAAGCAGUAAAUGUGGAGCCGUAGCGAAAGCGAGUCUGAAUAGGGCGUUUAGUAUUUGGUCGUAGACCCGAAACCAGGUGAUCUACCCUUGGUCAGGUUGAAGUUCAGGUAACACUGAAUGGAGGACCGAACCGACUUACGUUGAAAAGUGAGCGGAUGAACUGAGGGUAGCGGAGAAAUUCCAAUCGAACCUGGAGAUAGCUGGUUCUCUCCGAAAUAGCUUUAGGGCUAGCCUCAAGUGAUGAUUAUUGGAGGUAGAGCACUGUUUGGACGAGGGGCCCCUCUCGGGUUACCGAAUUCAGACAAACUCCGAAUGCCAAUUAAUUUAACUUGGGAGUCAGAACAUGGGU
rnacentral:rRNA from 1 species